AUUGAACGCUGGCGGCAUGCCUUACACAUGCAAGUCGAACGGUAACAGAUCUUCGGAUGCUGACGAGUGGCGAACGGGUAAGUAAUGCGUCGGAACGUGCCGAGUAGUGGGGGAUAACGCAUCGAAAGGUGUGCUAAUACCGCAUACGUACUGAGGUAGAAAGUGGGGGACCUUCGGGCCUCACGCUAUUCGAGCGGCCGACGUUUGAUUAGCUAGUUGGUGAGGUAAAGGCUCACCAAGGCGACGAUCAGUAGCGGGUCUGAGAGGAUGAUCCGCCAAACUGGGACUGAGACACGGCCCAGACUCCUACGGGAGGCAGCAGUGGGGAAUUUUGGACAAUGGGCGCAAGCCUGAUCCAGCCAUGCCGCGUGUCUGAAGAAGGCCUUCGGGUUGUAAAGCACUUUAAGUUGGGAGGAAGGGCAGUAAGUUAAUACCUUGCUGUUUUGACGUUACCGACAGAAUAAGCACCGGCUAACUCUGUGCCAGCCGCCGCGGUAACAC
rnacentral:rRNA from 1 species